UCCGCAAUGGGCGAAACCCUGACGGAGCAAUACCGCGUGCGGGAGGAAGGCCUUUGGGUCGUAAACCGCUUUUCACAGGGAAGAAUUCUGACGGUACCUGUUGAAUCAGCAUCGGCUAACUCCGUGCCAGCAGCCGCGGUAAGACGGAGGAUGCAAGCGUUAUCCGGAAUUAUUGGGCGUAAAGCGUCCGUAGGUGGCCUAUCAAGUCUGCUGUUAAAUCCCAGGGCUCAACUCUGGAUCAGCAGUGGAAACUGAUAAGCUAGAGUGCGGUAGGGGCAGAGGGAAUUCCCAGUGUAGCGGUGAAAUGCGUAGAUAUCGGGAAGAACACCAGUGGCGAAGGCGCUCUGCUGGGCCGUAACUGACACUCAUGGACGAAAGCUAGGGGAGCGAAAGGGAUUAGAUACCCC
rnacentral:rRNA from 1 species